GGGGCACACAGGGGUCUUUGAAGUCCAACUCCUGGCCUUGGACAGGACAACCCCAAGAAUUCCCUCAAGAAUUCAGGGGAUGAACUGAUGGAGGGCAGCCCUGAGAAGGACCUGGGAGUGCUGGUGGAUGAGAGCAAUUAAGAAAAAAAGUGGAGCUGCCUUUGCCUGCGAAAGGCUCUGCCUGACUCCUGUCUCCUCACUGCAGUGCUGCUCUGAUUUCCAUCUCAUGCAUAUCUUAUUUAACAUUCUGGAUACUGUUUUGAGUGCCCCAAUAUUUUAAAAUAAAUUGCUGCAUGUAAAAGA